AGUGAACUUCGUUUGCAGCGGCAUCUCCCGAUUUAAAAAAACAAGGCUUUUUAGCCAUAGUUUUUAUUAUCGGGAAUACAGCGAAUAGCAGGAAACAGC
rnacentral:sRNA from 1 species